rnacentral:rRNA from 1 species
CUUAAAUGAAUUGACGGGACCCGCACAAGCAGCGGAGCGUGUGGUUUAAUUCGUUGCUACACGAAGAACCUUACCUGGGUUUGACAUAUAGGUUGUAGGGAACUGAAAGGGACCGACCCUUCGGGGAGCCUAUACAGGUGUUGCAUGGCUGUCGUCAGCUCGUGUCGUGAGAUGUUCGGUUAAGUCCGCUAACGAGCGCAACCCUCGUCGUAUGUUAUAUGUGUCAUACGAGACUGCCGGUAAAAAGCCGGAGGAAGGUGAGGAUGAUGUCAAGUCAGCAUGACCUUUAUAUCCAGGGCUACACACACGCUACAAUGGUCUGUACAAUGGGUAGCCAAGCCGCGAGGCGGAGCCAAUCCUGAAAGCAGGCCUCAGUUCAGAUUGCAGUCUGCAACUCGACUGCAUGAAGCCGGAGUUGCUAGUAACCGCAGGUCAGCAAUACUGCGGUGAAUACGUUCCCGGGUCUU